rnacentral:tRNA from 1 species
UCCCGUGUGGCUCAGUUGGUAGAGCAUGGUGUUUGCAACACCAGGGUUGUGGGUUUGAUUUCCACGGUGGGCC